CAAAAUUCAGGUGUUCAAGCCUUAACCCCCAAUGAGGCUAUAUGUGGCCAUAGUGAUGAGGCCUUGAUCCAACAGGAUCAGUGUCCUUGUAAGAAGAAACACGAGAAAUCUGACUCCCUGAUGCUCUUCCCCAGCUUGAAUGCACCAAGGAAAGGCCAUUUGUGGGGACAUAGCGAGAAGGCAGCUGUCUGCAAGCCAGGAGGAGAACCCUCACCAGAAACCUCACAGAAAUCGGCCAGCACCCUCAUCUCGGGCUUCCAGCUUCAGAACAACGAGAAAACAAAUUUCUGUGGUGUCCUGGUUCCCAUUUGUAAUUGGCACCCUAAUGAAACCGUUUUCUGUAGCCCUGGAAAUGGCUGAAAAUGAGGGGAGGGAAAUAAAGUGCUAUAAUUCAGAGCAUGGAGCACACCUUCCUGGUUCACCUGAGUUGGAUUCGGAGAGGUAAAAUGGCCAUUACCUCGUCUAAGCUGCCACUUACAGACACAGUACAGGAUGAGGCCCAGGCCCACAGAGACAACGAUGAUGGCCACAGCUAAGAUGAUCCAGAAAUUAUUCCUCCACCAGCUCAUUGCAGUGGAAUCCUGAGAAGAAUGGAGAGAGAAGAAUGAGGCCUCCUGGAGUCACAAAGCCUGGAGCAACAGGAGAGCCACUAAAGAAGACGGAACAGCUAGUUCCUGCCUUAAUGAUUAACCGACCUCGCAACAGUCCACCUUGUGAUAUGUUCCUGCCCUACCCUAACUAAUCCAUCCACCUUGUGAUAUGUUCCUGCCCUACCCUAACUAAUCCAUCCACCGCUGUGACAUGUUCCUGCCCUACCCUAACUAAUCCAUCCACUUUGUGAUAUGUUCCUUCCCUACCCUAACUAAUCCAUCCACCUUGUGAUAUGUUCCUGCCCUUCCCCAACUAAUCCAUCCACCUUGUGAUAUCGUGCCUUGUGACUUCCCCCACCUUGUGACUAUCCACCUUGUAACAUUCUUCCCCUGCCCAAAAAAACUGCCCCUAACUGUAACUUUCCACUACCUACCCCAAACCUAUAGAACCAGUUCCACUCCCACCACCCUUCGCUGACUCCUUUCUCUGACUCGGCCCACUUGCACCCAAGUGAAU
rnacentral:lncRNA from 1 species